rnacentral:rRNA from 1 species
UACGUAGGGGCCUAGCGUUGUCCGGAUUUAUUGGGCGUAAAGAGCUCGUAGGCGGCUUGUUGCGUCGUCCGUGAAAACCCGCAGCUCAACUGCGGGCUUGCGGACGAUACGGGCAGGCUGGAGUUCGGUAGGGGAGACGUGGAAUUCCUGGUGUAGCGGUGAAAUGCGCAGAUAUCAGGAGGAACACCGGUGGCGAAGGCGGGUCUCGUGGGCAGUAACUGACGCUGGAGGAGCGAAAGCGUGGGGAGCGAACGG